UGGCGGCAGGCCUACACAUGCAAGUCGAGCGGAUGAAGAGAGCUUGCUCUCUGAUUCAGCGGCGGACGGGUGAGUAAUGCCUAGGAAUCUGCCUGGUAGUGGGGGACAACGUUUCGAAAGGAACGCUAAUACCGCAUACGUCCUACGGGAGAAAGCAGGGGACCUUCGGGCCUUGCGCUAUCAGAUGAGCCUAGGUCGGAUUAGCUAGUUGGUGAGGUAAAGGCUCACCAAGGCGACGAUCCGUAACUGGUCUGAGAGGAUGAUCAGUCACACUGGAACUGAGACACGGUCCAGACUCCUACGGGAG
rnacentral:rRNA from 1 species